rnacentral:rRNA from 1 species
UACGUAGGGUGCAAGCGUUAUCCGGAAUUAUUGGGCGUAAAGAGCUCGUAGGCGGUUUGUCGCGUCGUCCGUGAAAACUUGGGGCUCAACCCCAAGCUUGCGGGCGAUACGGGCAGACUUGAGUACUGCAGGGAGGACUGGAAUUCCUGGUGUAGCGGUGAAAUGCGCAGAUAUCAGGAGGAACACCGGUGGCGAAGGCGGGUCUCUGGGCAGUAACUGACGCUGAGGAGCGAAAGCGUGGGUAGCAAACAGG